rnacentral:rRNA from 1 species
UACGGGGGGAGCAAGGCGUUGUUCGGAUUUACUGGGCGUAAAGGGCGCGUAGGCGGCCACCGCAAGUCGAUUGUGAAAUCUCCGGGCUUAACCCGGAAAGGUCAACCGAUACUGCGGGGCUAGAGUGCAGAAGGGGCAACUGGAAUUCUCGGUGUAGCGGUGAAAUGCGUAGAUAUCAAGAGGAACACCUGCGGCGAAGGCGGGUUGCUGGGCCGACACUGACGCUGAGGCGCGAAAGCUAGGGGAGCGAACGGG